CCCACCUGGAUGUGACCAUGCAGAAACGAAGGGGUGACCCUGGAGUAGAUAGAAAAGAAGGCUGCAGGCUGAGAACCCGGUGUCCCCUCGGCCUCGAAUGUGCCGGGAAGAUGGAGCGGUUACAAUGGGGAUGGACCCAGCGGCGCCCUGAGUGCCUCCGCUGGGACCCGUGGUCGAUGCCCGACGCGGUGUAAGGGGACCCUCAGUGUUGUCACAGAGCUCAAUGGAUUAUUCCAGAACGGACGCCCCCUCCCGAAUGGUUCCUUCCCGACUCGAAGGACUUCCCUCUACCCCUCAGUGCCCCAGCAGAGCCCCAUCUGGAAUAGAUCUCUCCACGGCCCAGCCCGAACACUGGCACUGGUUCUGGCAUUUUCCUGAGUGUCGAUCUCAGCUUGUCCUCUUCAUAUCAGCUGUGUGACUGGUUCAUUCCCUUUCUCUCUCUGUUCCUCCAUCUUCUCCACUGUGUAAUAGUAUCAAUCCUCACAAGCUUUCACGAGGUGUAAGUGAGAUGAUCCCAAUAAGAGUUUUCGCAGGGCCUGGCACAGAAUAAAUGUGAGAUAAA